UACUGCAUUUUUUCUUACCAUGUGUUUUUCUCUUUUUGAAAACUUUGCUUUGGUAGGCAACUAUAUGGGGCCUGCCAGAGAUUAAACUCAACCAAAUUUUAUUUAAUGUCAACCGAUUAUUUAAUAGUCAAAACUUUCAACAACGGAUCUCUUGGUUCUCGCAUCGAUGAAGAACGCAGCGAAAUGCGAUAAGUAAUAUGAAUUGCAGAUAUUCGUGAAUCAUCGAAUCUUUGAACGCACAUUGCGCCCUUUGGUAUUCCAAAGGGCAUGCCUGUUUGAGCGUCAUUUCUCCCUCAAACCCUCGGGUUUGGUGUUGAGCGAUACGCUGGGUUUGCUUGAAAGAAAGGCGGAGUAUAAACUAAUGGAUAGGUUUUUUCCACUCAUUGGUACAAACUCCAAAACUUCUUCCAAAUUCGACCUCAAAUCAGGUAGGACUACCCGCUGAACUUAAGCAUAUCAAUAAGCGGAGG
rnacentral:rRNA from 1 species